AUUAGAAACCACUGUUAGACCACUGGUUAACAUGUAUCUCUUUUUAAUGGAUAACAUUCAAACUGUUCAGAGCUCAUAGACAACAAACGGAAUAAUGACUUCGCGUUAAUUUUAGUGACCGAGCGCAGCACGUACGGAUGCGUCUUACGUCACCGACGUAAGAACGGAAACCCAUCGAAUCCCUCAACGACAUUGCUCACACCUGUGUGCGCCUCGCCAAUCACGGCUUUACCGCUUCCCAAAAUAGACUUAAGAGAAUUCUGCACGCCAUUGUUGCUUGAAAAACACAAUAUAUUGUCACGUUUAAAGGUCUAGUGUGACAAAAUACGUUGAGCUUGCUGAUGCGGUUCAACUCACCUCGUCUGAAGAUCCAUCUUCGUGCAGCACCAUCAACCUUUAAACGAAGGUUAGAGCGUCUGAUGUCACUUCCUGCAAGGAAAAAGGCUGUGCGGCGAUCUGGCCGCCUUCCCAGCAGGCGCAGCCUCUUGGGGCUGAUUCAGCCAAUGUUCCCACCCAGGAAUCCUGGACUGCUGACAGGAAACAGGCCCAAGUCUCCCGAGGCCGCUGUAAGUCAACCCUUGCCCGAGUCUCCCCCCAGGACCCCAAAACAUCUCUGGGGGGCAUUUCUCAGACAAGCCAGCUUACAAAUAGACAUUCAUGGUCAGCACCACACCCCGAAUCUCACUCGCCUUGCCCUCUGCCCGGCUUCCCAUCAGCGCCGCCUUUGAGGAAUUGAACAAUUCUAUUGUGUAAGACAGGCGUGAUUAACAGACACUUUGGACCAAUUUCAUGCUUUCAUGAACUAACUUGUGUUUUCCCGCAACCUGUCUAGUAUAUAAGAUGUCCACUGUAGUAAUCGCGGUCGCUGACAGGGUUAACUGAAGGCUCUAAAUUGUCCAUAAGUGUGAAUAUCCGCGCAAAUGGUUGUUUUGUCUAUAUGUGCGCUGUGAUUGGCUGGAAACCGGACAUUAGUGUAGCCUGGCCAAAAGUCAUCUUCGGUCAGGGUUGUCCAACAUUUUUUGUAAAAUGAAAGAAUGCAAGGCCCCUCUAAAAAAUUAUUCGAUAUAUAUAUUUUUCCAAACAAUAGUAAGCUAACAUUUGUAAAACAGAUCCUUGAUUUUUAAUGUGAUCGUGUCACAGAUGGGACCUUGACACAGAGCAAAGAGUGGAAGAAACAGUUUUUGCUUCUCAAAACCAAUUAUCUAUAUUUACAUAGUUUUAUGAAGAGGAAAUGUGUUAUUUCAUUUGUGUAUAGUUUAUUUGUGUGUUUGUAUAUCUAGCGAGGCUACAGAAUUAGUAGGAGUGGCAGCUAGUGUUUCGACUCCCUCCUCUCUCUCUGCCCACCACCAUCCUUUUCAUUACAUUUUUUUAACUAGCCAAGUCAAAAGCCAUUUUUAAUAUAUGCCACAGACCGCUGAAAAUCAUAUGGCGGGCUGCAAAUGGCCCCCCCGGCCGCAUUUAGGACACCCUGUCUUGGGAAGAUGCCGAAUUGGCCUUUCAUGCGAAUGUGAGUGCAAAUGGUGACGUGCCCGUUCGUGCACUGCAAUUGCGUAAUUAUAACAUACCGGCUGGAAUAGUUUAGGGGAGUGAUAGCUUGUGCAUCUGUACCAGUUCUACUUAGAAUUAAAGUAAAGCACAACAACUUCUUUCGUAUUUCAUUUAUUUUGUAAAAAAACAAACAAAUAGGAAUUCAAUAAACAAAAACAAUGUACCUACAUUAGUGUUUCAGAUGGUACCGAAUGGACACAGGCAGCGUGCUACAGGGGACAAAACAAAAAGCUAUUGCACAAGAGACACAUUUUCAUACAUAAACACACACAUAUAAACUGUACAUACUUACAUACAUGUUCAUAUAUUUAUAGUCAGGCGACGCGACAAAAGUGAUACACAUGACAGACGCCUAAAAAAAAAA